rnacentral:snoRNA from 1 species
GGAUCGAUGAUGACACCCUCACAUGCAUUCCUUGGAAAAUUGAACAAAAUGAGUGAGAACUCACUACCGUCUCCUCAUCGAAACAGGUCU